AGAGUUUGAUCCUGGCUCAGAUUGAACGCUGGCGGCAGGCUUAACACAUGCAAGUCGAGCGGGGAAGGGUAGCUUGCUACCUGACCUAGCGGCGGACGGGUGAGUAAUGCUUAGGAAUCUGCCUAUUAGUGGGGGACAACAUUCCGAAAGGAAUGCUAAUACCGCAUACGCCCUACGGGGGAAAGCAGGGGAUCUUCGGACCUUGCGCUAAUAGAUGAGCCUAAGUCAGAUUAGCUAGUUGGUGGGGUAAAGGCCUACCAAGGCGACGAUCUGUAGCGGGUCUGAGAGGAUGAUCCGCCACACUGGGACUGAGACACGGCCCAGACUCCUACGGGAGGCAGCAGUGGGGAAUAUUGGACAAUGGGCGAAAGCCUGAUCCAGCCAUGCCGCGUGUGUGAAGAAGGCCUUUUGGUUGUAAAGCACUUUAAGCGAGGAGGAGGCUACUUGGAUUAAUACUCUAGGAUAGUGGACGUUACUCGCAGAAUAAGCACCGGCUAACUCUGUGCCAGCAGCCGCGGUAAUACAGAGGGUGCGAGCGUUAAUCGGAUUUACUGGGCGUAAAGCGUGCGUAGGCGGCUUCUUAAGUCGGAUGUGAAAUCCCUGAGCUUAACUUAGGAAUUGCAUUCGAUACUGGGAAGCUAGAGUAUGGGAGAGGAUGGUAGAAUUCCAGGUGUAGCGGUGAAAUGCGUAGAGAUCUGGAGGAAUACCGAUGGCGAAGGCAGCCAUCUGGCCUAAUACUGACGCUGAGGU
rnacentral:rRNA from 1 species